AUUGAACGCUGGCGGCAUGCCUUACACAUGCAAGUCGAACGGUAACGGGCCUUCGGGUGCCGACGAGUGGCGAACGGGUGAGUAAUGCAUCGGAACGUACCGUGUAAUGGGGGAUAACGUAGCGAAAGUUACGCUAAUACCGCAUACGCCCUGAGGGGGAAAGUGGGGGACCGCAAGGCCUCACGUUAUACGAGCGGCCGAUGUCGGAUUAGCUAGUUGGUGGGGUAAAGGCCUACCAAGGCGACGAUCCGUAGCGGGUCUGAGAGGAUGAUCCGCCACACUGGGACUGAGACACGGCCCAGACUCCUACGGGAGGCAGCAGUGGGGAAUUUUGGACAAUGGGGGCAACCCUGAUCCAGCCAUGCCGCGUGAGUGAAGAAGGCCUCGGUUGUAAG
rnacentral:rRNA from 1 species